ACGCUCAUUUCAGCAGCACAUAUACUAAAAUGGAAUGAUACAGAGGAGGUUAGCAUUCCCUGUGCAAGGAUGACACACAAAUUCGUGAAGCAUUUAUGUGUGUU
rnacentral:snRNA from 1 species